GAUGAAGAACGUAGUGAAAUGCGAUAAGUAAUGUGAAUUGCAGAAUUCAGUGAAUCAUCGAAUCUUUGAACGCACAUUGCGCCCCCUGGCAUUCCGGGGGGCAUGCCUGUUCGAGCGUCAUUACAACCCUCAGGCCCCCGGGCCUGGCGUUGGGGAUCGGCGGAAGCCCCCUGCGGGCACAACGCCGUCCCCCAAAUACAGUGGCGGUCCCGCCGCAGCUUCCAUUGCGUAGUAGCUAACACCUCGCAACUGGAGAGCGGCGCGGCCACGCCGUAAAACACCCAACUUCUGAAUGUUGACCUCGAAUCAGGUAGGAAUACCCGCUGAACUUAAGCAUAUCAAUAAGCGGAGGA
rnacentral:misc_RNA from 1 species